UGGUCCAGUGGUUAGGACCCGCCGCUCUCACUGCCGUGGCCCAGGUUCGACUCCUGG
rnacentral:tRNA from 1 species